GUUUCUGUGGCGCAAUCGGUUAGCGCGUUCGGCUGUUAACCGAAAGGUUGAUGGUUCGAAUCCAUCCAGGAACG
rnacentral:tRNA from 1 species